rnacentral:tRNA from 1 species
GCCGCGGUAGCCCAAAGGCAGAGGCAGCCGUCUCAAACGCGGCUCAGUGCGGGUUCGAAUCCCGCUCGCGGCA